rnacentral:rRNA from 1 species
GUCUUUUUGAAUUAUAAUUUAAAGUCUAACCUGCUCAAUGAAUUUUUAAAUAGCUGCGGUAUUUUGACCGUACAAAGGUAGCAUAAUCAAUAGUUUUUUAAUUAAAAACUGGAAUGAAAGGUUGAAUAAGAAAAUAACUGUCUCAAUUUAAUUUAAAUUAAAAUUUUAUUUUUAAGUUAAAAAGCUUAAAUUUUAUUUAUAGACGAGAAGACCCUAUAGAGUUUAAUUAUUAAUUUAAUAAAAAUGAAAAGAAUUUAAUAAUUAAAAUUAAAUUAAUAAUUUUAUUGGGGUGAUAAAAAAAUUAAAUUAACUUUUUUUAAUUUAAAACAAAAAUUUUUGAUUUAUUGAUCCAUUAAAAAUGAUUAUAAGAUUAAAUUACCUUAGGGAUAACAGCGUAAUUUUUUUUUAGAGUUCAUAUCGAAAAAAGAGAUUGCGACCUCGAUGUUGGAUUAAAAUUUAUUAUUGGUGUAGAAGCUAAUAUAUUAGGUCUGUUCGACCUUUAAAAUUUUACA